rnacentral:rRNA from 1 species
GUGGGGAAUUUUGGACAAUGGGCGAAAGCCUGAUCCAGCAAUGCCGCGUGCAGGAUGAAGGCCCUCGGGUUCUAAACUGCUUUUGUACGGAACGAAAAGCCUCGGGCUAAUAUCCCCGGGUCAUGACGGUACCGUAAGAAUAAGCACCGGCUAACUACGUGCCAGCAGCCGCGGUAAUACGUAGGGUGCAAGCGUUAAUCGGAAUUACUGGGCGUAAAGCGUGCGCAGGCGGUUUUGUAAGACAGUGGUGACAGCCCCGGGCUCAACCUGGGAACUGCCAUUGUGACUGAAAGGUUAGAGGGCGGCAUAGGGGGAUGGAAUUCCGCGUGUAGCAGUGAAAUGCGUAGAUAUGCGGAGGAACACCGAUGGCGAAGGCAAUCCCCUGGGCCUGCACUGACGCUCAUGCACGAAAGCGUGGGGAGCAAACAGGAUUAGAAACCCGUGUAGUCC